rnacentral:rRNA from 1 species
UACGAAGGGGGCUAGCGUUGCUCGGAAUCACUGGGCGUAAAGCGCACGUAGGCGGCUUGUUAAGUCAGGGGUGAAAUCCUGGAGCUCAACUCCAGAACUGCCUUUGAUACUGGCGAUCUCGAGUCCGGGAGAGGUGAGUGGAACUGCGAGUGUAGAGGUGAAAUUCGUAGACAUUCGCAAGAACACCAGUGGCGAAGGCGGCUCACUGGCCCGGUACUGACGCUGAGGUGCGAAAGCGUGGGGAGCAAACAGG